UCUCAUUUAAAAUCUUUUAACUAACAUUUUUGUCAGAACAAAACAUGAGUGUUAGAUUUACAUGUAUACUACGUUGCAUAGCCAACUCUCAAUAAAAUCAUUGGAGGAUAGGAUUUUUAAACAGAAGGUUCAAUGGGGUAAGAAAUUGCAUUGAGUAGACCCAAAGAUUCCCGGAUCCGGCUCCUCUCAUUAUCCUCGAUCACCCAGGGUCUUCCCACGUCUGGGAAGACGACACAUGUAUAUGACGGAUCUAACAGAUCUCAGUCUUUACCCCAAAAACACUAUCCAUCUUUAUCAGAAACCUAUACCCGAGCGCAUCUCCUUGUCCAUACGAGUUUCAAUCUGCUAUUUUCUCUGCUAUCCCCUCUCUUCCCACCUCGUUUGUUGCUCUCCUUUCACCGGCAUUUCUCUCCAGUUAAGGUUGUGACCUAAUGAACAAGAGGCAGGAAGCCCACUGAAGGAGUUGCAGCGACUGUUUUGCCGACGCCAGUGAUCGAAGGCGACCCCACAAAAAUCCCCAACUGUCGAUCUCUUCUCCUCUUCCGAUCUCUUCUCUCCCAAACUGCCGAGACCCUUUUUCAAUCUCUUCUCUGCCAAACUGCCCACCCGGAGAGCUUCUGCUUCUAUAGAGGCGUGGUUUUGAUGACGCUGGUGAUCGAAGGGGACCCUACCAAAAUCCCCAACUGCCGAUCUCUUCUCUUCUUACGAUCUCUUUUUUUUUUUUUUCCAUUUUCUUCUCUCCCAAACUGCUGAGACCCUAAGGACAUAGGCGUGGUUUUUGGUUUUGCUUCACAUUUUGUUUUUGAUUUGAAUAUUUAUGCUAACAUUGACUUACAUAGAAUUGUGGUGAUUGAAAUUUUUUGCAUUCAAUUCAUCUUUCAGCAAAUGAUAAUAAGUUAUACAAUUAGCUUGAAGCAAAAUUGCAAAUCAGCUUCAUGGUAAUUAGCCGUUCAGGUAGGAGUGCUUGUGUGCCAUGUGUUGAGCAACAAGAAGAAUAAUUGGUUGUCAAUACUUAAGAACUAUUUUUCAGGGGGUAAAACCCUUGGUCCAAACUUCAGCAGUUAGGAACUUAGGUUGCAGGGAAGAUAGAAGGGGACCUUGAUUAACCUGAUAAUAAGUCUGAAGAUUUUAAUUUUAGAAGUUUUAGAAAAUUCAUUGAUGUAUUGCGAAAGAUCUUAACAUUGUGAGGUAGUUUGAUGUGAUUCUAUCAAAUUCUGUUGUCGCUUGUUAGUAGGAGGAAACUGCUAGAUUUGUGUAUCUGCCUUGCUCUGUUAUCUUUGUAAGUAUGGUGCCUUUUUGACUAUUCCUUAUUGAAUAGUCAAUUCAAUCUCCAUGUUAAGAUUAUUUAACCAUGGCUGGCAAUAGUUUUUCUAUGCGGUCUUGAUGUUAUUAUUAAUUUUUUUUUUUUUUUCUUUUCUUUUUUCAUCUAUUUAAGAGGCUUUUAGAUAUUAUGAUAUUGAUGAUGUUAUAAGCUUAGUUUUUUGCAAAUUUUUUCUGGAUUCUAAAGAUUCUCAAGGAAGAACAGGUUAAUUUGUAUCAAUUUGGCCAUAAUCCCGCUAUCCAACUGAUUCACUUGAUCAAUUGCAAUGCUUAUUAUGAGAUUUUUUUUCACACACACACUACUCACUUUUUCUCACCCCUUGAAGUGUACUACUGAAUGUACACUUCUUUUCAAGCGUCGGUGGAUAACUGUAGCACCUGUACAAAACCUCCUAUAGAUGCCCAAUCCUGUUUAACAAAUGAUCUGUCAAUUUCUCUGGAGUACAUACAGCCCUUUUUAAAUGUUUCCAAUAUAAUAAACAAGUACAGAAUGAGAUGGUAUACUUGAAGCAAAAUUGCAUAUUUUCUUCAUGCUAAUUAGCUUUUAUGUGAGUUUAUUGUUAAAUAAAGAUUUUAGAGUAGUACAAUUGAGAAACCUUAUGUGUACAGAUGACUUCUAAUGUGAAUGGACUUGUUAAUGCAAAAUGUGAACGUUGCGGUGAAAGUUGUUCAAUCUUCACAACAAAUGGUGGAGAACAUAUUGGAAGAAAGUAUUUCAAAUGUCCGAGGAGCUAUGACUUCUUCAUGUGGGUGGAUCAGUAUAGAAUUUGACCGUGGAAAAGUCCAACGUAAGGUCAAAACAACAAGGACUAGUACGAACUAUGGUCAACCUUUUUGGUGCUACCCACAAUCAACUGGGGUUGACUAACUGUGGCUAUAAAAUGUUCAAAUGGAUAGGAGAUGCAAGGACUAGCUCUACUAGCCAGUGUACUCCAACUAUGUCGAGAUGUUCGGAUACCUCAUCAUCUACAUCGAUUUCUUCUUCACCAGAUUAUAUCAAAGGUUAUUUAGAAGGUACAAUUAAGCAGUCGGUGGACCAUAUGAAGAUAUUAAAAGACGUUCUUGACUCAAUCAACAAAUUAGACUUAAGCGAAAAAAGAGAUUAACUGUACUUUGUAAUGACACUUCAAAGGAGUGCUCUAGUUUUGUAAUGUUAUUUCUGAUUGUUUGGUUAAACUUUGUAAUAGUAUUUCCAUAAGAAUGGAAAAACCUUGCUAAGUAUCUAAUGGGAAAACCUAGUUAUUUUACACUUUAAA